rnacentral:tRNA from 1 species
CGGGGAGUGGCUCAGCUUGGAUAGAGCGCUGCGUUCGGGACGCAGAGGUCGGAGGUUCGAAUCCUCUCUCCCCGA